GGCGGCGUAGCCGGGCGAAGCGGGUCGCCGCCAUUCAGGCUAGCGCCGAUCGCAAGGGCGGGGGACCGGUCGAAGCGGGUCGCCGCCA
rnacentral:tRNA from 1 species